rnacentral:rRNA from 1 species
AGUGAACGCUGGCGGUAGGCCUAACACAUGCAAGUCGAACGGCAGCACAGUAAGAGCUUGCUCUUACGGGUGGCGAGUGGCGGAAGGGUGAGGAAUACAUCGGAAUCUACUUUUUCGUGGGGGAUAACGUAGGGAAACUUACGCUAAUACCGCAUACGACCUACGGGUGAAAGCAGGGGAUCUUCGGACCUUGCGCGAUUGAAUGAGCCGAUGUCGGAUUAGCUAGUUGGCGGGGCAAAGGCCCACCAAGGCGACGAUCCGUAGCUGGUCUGAGAGGAUGAUCAGCUACACUGGAACUGAGACACGGUCCAGACGCCUACGGGAGGCAGCAGUGGGGAAUAUUGGACGAUGGGCGAAAGCCUGAUCCAGCCAUACCGCGUGGGUGAAGAAGGACUUCGGGUUGUAAAGCCCUUUUGUUGGGAAAGAAAAGCAGCAGGUUAAUACCCCGCUGUUCUGACGGUACCCAAAGAAUAAGCACCGGCUAACUUCGUG